rnacentral:rRNA from 1 species
AUUGAACGCUGGCGGCAUGCCUUACACAUGCAAGUCGAACGGUAACAGGUUAAGCUGACGAGUGGCGAACGGGUGAGAAUGUAUCGGAACGUGCCCAGUCGUGGGGGAUAACUGCUCGAAAGAGCAGCUAAUACCGCAUACGACCUGAGGGUGAAAGCGGGGGAUCGCAAGACCUCGCGCGAUUGGAGCGGCCGAUAUCAGAUUAGGUAGUUGGUGAGGUAAAGGCUCACCAAGCCGACGAUCUGUAGCUGGUCUGAGAGGACGACCAGCCACACUGGGACUGAGACACGGCCCAGACUCCUACGGGAGGCAGCAGUGGGGAAUUUUGGACAAUGGGCGCAAGCCUGAUCCAGCCAUGCCGCGUGCGGGAAGAAGGCCUUCGGGUUGUAAACCGCUUUUGUCAGGGAAGAAAAGGUUCUGGCUAAUACCUGGGACUCAUGACGGUACCUGAAGAAUAAGCACCGGCUAACUACGUG